rnacentral:lncRNA from 1 species
AGUGCUUGUCAAAAUGCUAUGACAACUGACUGGUUUUAUGCAAACAGAGCCUGGCUCUCAAGAGACAGUGUGUCUGAAAGUCAAACAUGGAUGGCAGCCAUUGGCACACAAAGGAGUCAGAAACCACAGAUUGUUUUCUCGUUGGAUGAACAGCUUAAAGCAACGUAAAGUUAAUUGAAGAAUUCCUUGAAAGUGAAGUCAGACUAAAAAGAAAUGCUCCGAGUCUAUAAUUUACUAAAUGUGAAAGAACUUGUUGUCUUCCUUCCCCACCCACUUUCAGAAAGGAUUUGAUGUUGCCUAGGGUUAAAAUAGAUAAAUAAAAUCAAAACCAUUAGGAUGAAUACGAAGGAACGGGGAAAGAUGUUAUACUCGAAUCCCUGAGAUGGAGUAUGAUUUAAUUCACGUUGGAGAAUAGGCCUUAGCAAAGACUGAGAUUUAUGAAAUGCAGGUUAUAGCUGGCUUUAGAGAAGAAAAGUGGAAAUAAGAAGAGGACAUGUGACUUAGAGCUUGCCAUAAGGUAUGCAGAGCCAACAGAACAUUUUAUUCGGAAUGGCAGCUGGUGGUUUCUGUUAUCUGUGAAUCAUUGUGAAGUCUGUCUGAGGCAGAGAGGAGACAGCUAGCCGAAUUCCCCUUUCGCAAAAACUGAUUCAUAACAUUGUAAAGCUCACAGAAAAUGCAUUUUGUAUCACAAGAACACAUAAAAAUCUCUAUUUUUUGACAUAAAGGCUAUAUUGACGAACUUUAAAAUAAAAAGAACCUGUAAAUGUAAAACCAUAAAGAAACAUUUUUUAAAAUAGUAUGAAUAAUUUAUGGGCAGUUGAAUACAGCUUUUGUUGCUUUGUAGGUAACUCACUUAUAACAAUUGCAUAAAUGGUAAUGCAGUUGUGUGUAACAAAGGACCAUUAAUUAUGACACUUAUGACAAUGAUAACAUAAUUAACUAUUUUUUGAGCUGCUACUAUUUGCUGCCACCUAACAUACAUUAUUACAUUUAUUCCCUGCAACAAGCCUGCAAGGUAGGUAUUAUUCUCCUGUUGAAAAUGAUGCUGAAGUUCAGUCACACAAACACCAAGUACCAGGGCCAAACUGCAAUCCAUAUCCCCCUCACAUGAAAGUUAGUGUGGUUUCCACUCUACUGUUACCAUUGAUGAGACAUGGUAACCAAAAAAAAAAAAGAAUUCAGGAAAACUAUCUUCAACUAUAUUGCUGGAUAGCAUUACUUUAUAAAUAUUAAUUUUACUCUGUGGUUACUGUAUGGUAAUGGAAUUAUUUUGGCCCCUUAAAACCUUAGAAAAAAUCAAACUAAUUGUGCCUUGUAACAUUUGUGGUUUAUGUGU